AUUAAACGCUGGCGGCAUGCCUUACACAUGCAAGUCGAACGGCAGCACGGGGGCAACCCUGGUGGCGAGUGGCGGACGGGUGAGUAAAGCAUCGGAACGUAUCCCGGAGUGGGGGAUAACGUAGCGAAAGUUACGCUAAUACCGCAUAUUCUGUGAGCAGGAAAGCAGGGGAUCGCAAGACCUUGCGCUCUGGGAGCGGCCGAUGUCGGAUUAGCUAGUUGGUGGGGUAAAGGCCUACCAAGGCGACGAUCCGUAGCGGGUCUGAGAGGAUGAUCCGCCACACUGGGACUGAGACACGGCCCAGACUCCUACGGGAGGCAGCAGUGGGGAAUUUUGGACAAUGGGCGGAAGCCUGAUCCAGCCAUGCCGCGUGAGUGAAGAAGGCCUUCGGUU
rnacentral:rRNA from 1 species